AGCAGCCGCGGUAAUUCCAGCUCCAAUAGCGUAUAUUAAAGUUGCUGCAGUUAAAAAGCUCGUAGUUGAAUUUCGGGACCAUCAUGUCGGUCGUGCCUCGGUACGUACUGGCAUUGUUGGUUUCUCCCUUCUGAAGAACCAUGAUGUCAUUAAUUUGGUGUCAUGGGGAAUCAGGACUGUUACUUUGAAAAAUUAGAGUGUUUAAAGCAGGCUCGCGCUUGAAUACAUUAGCAUGGAAUAAUGAAAUAGGACGUUUGAUUCUAUUUUGUUGGUUUCUAGGAUCGACGUAAUGAUUAAUAGGGAUAGUUGGGGGCAUUAGUAUUCAAUUGUCAGAGGUGAAAUUCUUGGAUUUAUUGAAGACUAACUACUGCGAAAGCAUUUGCCAAGGAUGUUUUCAUUAAUCAAGAACGAAAGUUAGGGGACCGAAGACGAUCAGAUACCGUCGUAGUCUUAACCAUAAACUAUGCCGACUAGGGAUCGGAUGAUGUUAAUUUUUAANGA
rnacentral:rRNA from 1 species